rnacentral:rRNA from 1 species
UACGAAGGGGGCGAGCGUUGUUCGGAAUUACUGGGCGUAAAGCGCGCGUAGGCGGCUUUGUAAGUUAGAGGUGAAAGCCUGGAGCUCAACUUCAGAAUUGCCUUUAAGACUGCAUCGCUUGAAUCCGGGAGAGGUGAGUGGAAUUCCGAGUGUAGAGGUGAAAUUCGUAGAUAUUCGGAAGAACACCAGUGGCGAAGGCGGCUCACUGGACCGGCAUUGACGCUGAGGUGCGAAAGCGUGGGGAGCAAACAGG